GUGUUCGUACUUUUUCAUUCUUGAACCAGAGAGGAGACACAAAGCUUCGGGUGACAAAGGAUAAAACAAGCACAAAGCUGGAUAAGAAAAAGAGGAAACAAGGACCAUUAUGGUGAUAUUUCCCCUCUUCUCCACAUUGACAAAUGCCAGUUCAAUCAAAAUUUGGAAAUUUUCCACAUGAAAAACAGGAACAGAAGAGUGCUAACCUAAUCAGCUGUGCUAUCCUUUCAACUAUGACUGUGGGGAAAAAAAUGAACAGGCGGACCACCCUACUUAUGAAAGAAUGAUACCAGAUACAUCACGACCGGCACAGCCAAAGAAGACAUCAAGCUGUGCAGGAUACUGCUCCCCAUUGCUGGGAUAGAUGUUAAUCAUUCAAACAUAGGAACUACCACUGCAGUCUGGUAAGUGUUUCUAAAAACUGUAACAUAAAACUUUACAGAGUUCACAGACAAUUUGUAAUUAAACUUUAAUAAGAGAAGGCAAAAAAAUUGUAAAAUAUUUAGGUUUUGGUUAGGAUUCUAUAUUUAAAACUUUCCCAGUGUAAAAGUAAAAAAAAAAAAAAGAAAUAAAACAAUUUUGAUUGGAAACACUUCUAGUUAAUGAGGCAUAGCAAGAAAAACGUUUUUGUUCACUCUAGAAGAGUUUAUAUGAAAGCACUCAUAGAUGACACCUAUGAACAGAAUAGAAUACACAAUACACAGUAAUACUUCAUAUUGCAUAAAAUUCUUACAUUCCUCAAAUAUUUAAUGUAAAUAAAAAUAGGGUAUUGCACAAAGAUGGUAAAAGAAAGCAAAACCAACAUUAACAGAAAGGAGGAGAUAAAGUCUGGGAAAGCUGCUAGGUUAACAAUGUAUCACUUACUUGUACUAUAUCAUUAAUCACUGCUUGACAGCAGUGCUAAAUCUCAUGUUUAAGAAAUGUCUUUAGCAGGUCACAAGAAGAUUUUGGGGACUGGGCAGAAGAAAUGACCUUAAUACAUAGGUCUAUCUAAAAAAAGUCAACAAAAAGAACCCAAUAAAAAAAUCCAAACUUUGCUCCAGAUAUAGUUCAGUUGCACUACAGUUGGGGUGUUCUAAGGACUUUGCUAAGGAGCAGAAAUGGGUUCUAUAAAAGAACAGGUGACUCUCUACUAUAAUUAAAUUAAAUAUACAUGUUAGUUAGAUACUCAUGAGUAAAAUAUAAAACAGAUACAUUAAAUGGCCAUCAGGCUUUGAAAUAUUUGGGCUUGAUCACAAAGUUUUUCAAACACCAGAAAUCUGCUACCAAUUUGCAAAAUGUGGUAGCCUGCAGUAACUGAAGCAGCUCUUAAACAAACCAACCCCAAACAAACAAAAAAAAAUCCCCAAGGAUACAGCAUUGCUGGUUUCAACCAAGCCUGAUAUCUUAGCAAUUCUGACAUGUAUUUCAGUGAUGUUUCUUUAAAUAUACAAUUUUUGAA